rnacentral:rRNA from 1 species
AGAGUUUGAUCCUGGCUCAGAGUGAACGCUGGCGGUAGGCCUAACACAUGCAAGUCGAACGGCAGCACAGUAGGAGCUUGCUCUUACGGGUGGCGAGUGGCGGACGGGUGAGGAAUACAUCGGAAUCUACCUUUUGGUGGGGGAUAACGUAGGGAAACUUACGCUAAUACCGCAUACGCCCUUCGGGGGAAAGCCGGGGACCAGCAAUGGCCUGGCGCUGAUAGAUGAGCCGAUGUCGGAUUAGCUAGUUGGUGAGGUAAUGGCUCACCAAGGCGACGAUCCGUAGCUGGUCUGAGAGGAUGAUCAGCCACACUGGAACUGAGACACGGUCCAGACUCCUACGGGAGGCAGCAGUGGGGAAUAUUGGACAAUGGGCGCAAGCCUGAUCCAGCCAUACCGCGUGGGUGAAGAAGGCCUUCGGGUUGUAAAGCCCUUUUGUUGGGAAAGAAAAGCAUUCGGUUAAUACCCGGGUGUUCUGACGGUACCCAAAGAAUAAGCACCGGCUAACUUCGUGCCAGCAGCCGCGGUAAUACGAAGGGUGCAAGCGUUACUCGGAAUUACUGGGCGUAAAGCGUGCGUAGGCGGCGUGUCACGCCGGGUGUGAAAGCCCCGGGCUCAACCUGGGAACGGCAUCCGGAACGGGCAGGCUAGAGUGCAGGAGAGGAAGGUAGAAUUCCCGGUGUAGCGGUGAAAUGCGUAGAGAUCGGGAAGGAAUACCAGUGGUGAAGGCGGCCUUCUGGACUGACACUGACGCUGAGGUGCGAAAGCGUGGGUAGCAAACAGGAUUAGAUACCCUGGUAGUCCACGCCGUAAACGAUGUCGACUAGCCGUUGGGUCCCUUGAGGACUUAGUGGCGCAGUUAACGCGAUAAGUCGACCGCCUGGGGAGUACGGCCGCAAGGUUAAAACUCAAAUGAAUUGACGGGGGCCCGCACAAGCGGUGGAGCAUGUGGUUUAAUUCGAUGCAACGCGAAGAACCUUACCUACCCUUGACAUCCUGCGAACCCGGAAGAGAUUCCGGGGUGCCUUCGGGAGCGCAGAGACAGGUGCUGCAUGGCUGUCGUCAGCUCGUGUUGUGAAAUGUUGGGUUAAGUCCCGUAACGAGCGCAACCCUUGUCCCUAUUUGCCAGCGAUUCGGUCGGGAACUCUAGGGAGACUGCCGGUGACAAACCGGAGGAAGGUGGGGACGACGUCAAGUCAUCAUGGCCCUUACGGGUAGGGCUACACACGUGCUACAAUGGCCGGUACAAAGGGUUGCGAAGCCGCGAGGUGAAGCCAAUCCCAGAAAGCCGGCCUCAGUCCGGAUUGGAGUCUGCAACUCGACUCCAUGAAGUCGGAAUCGCUAGUAAUCGUGCAUCAGAAUGGCACGGUGAAUACGUUCCCGGGCCUUGUACACACCGCCCGUCACACCAUGGGAGUGGACUG